GAUGAACGCUGACAGAAUGCUUAACACAUGCAAGUCAACUUGAAUUUGGGUUUUUAACUUAGGUUUGGGUGGCGGACGGGUGAGUAACGCGUAAAGAACUUGCCUCACAGCUAGGGACAACAUUUGGAAACGAAUGCUAAUACCUAAUAUUAUGAUAACAGGGCAUCCUAUAAUUAUGAAAGCUAUAAGCGCUGUGAGAGAGCUUUGCGUCCCAUUAGCUAGUUGGAGAGGUAACGGCUCACCAAGGCGAUGAUGGGUAGCCGGCCUGAGAGGGUGAUCGGCCACAAGGGGACUGAGACACGGCCCUUACUCCUACGGGAGGCAGCAGUGGGGAAUAUUGGACAAUGGACCAAGAGUCUGAUCCAGCAAUUCUGUGUGCACGAUGAAGUUUUUCGGAAUGUAAAGUGCUUUCAGUUGGGAAGAAAGAAAUGACGGUACCAACAGAAGAAGUGACGGCUAAAUACGUG
rnacentral:rRNA from 1 species